UCCCCCUUAGCUCAGUGGUAGAGCGCUUCACUAGUAUUCCGCACAUGAAGAGGUCAGUCGUUCAAGUCGGCUAGGGGGAA